UUUGUAAGUUUGAAUACUGUGAUACUGGUUGACCUCAUAGGGCCAGAACGCUUAGAUAAAGCAUUAGGACUACUAAUGAUGUUCCAGGGAAUUGGUACUAUCCUAGGUCCACCAAUAUGUGGUUGGUUAUAUGAUGGCACCGGCAGUUACAGCAUUCCUUUUUAUUUUGUUGGCGGUCUGGUUAUAUUUAGCGGAGUCGUGUUAUGUUUAAUUCCUCUUUACAGAAGAAGUCAAACAAAAAAUUCGUAUCGAAUAAGUGGAGAAUAAGAACAAAUUUGACGUCAUAAAAGUGCUGUUAAUCUUCAUUUCCAGCUGAUUCUUGAAGACUGUAAAAAUAAAAGACAUAUUACGACGCAAAGUUCAUUUUAUCUAUUGUUUGUAGAAGACAUAAAUAUUUUAAAAGUGUUGCAAAAUGUUUAGGUCAAGUUUAAUUGUAAAUCUCUGUUUUGACAAUAGGGGAUGUACACCUCUGAGGAGCCAAAAAUUUCUAGAAUUAAAUUUUUUUCUUUA